ACUCGGCCUUACCACCGUUGACACGCCUGAUCUCGUCUGAUCUUGGAAGCUAAGCAUGGUCUGUUCGGUUAGUACUUGGAUGGGAGACCGCCUGGGAAUACCAUGUGCUGUAAGUG
rnacentral:rRNA from 10 species